rnacentral:tRNA from 1 species
GCUGACGUAGCUUAACUGGGUUAGAGCGGCUUUUUGAUGCAUAUGAAUCAAAUAAAUAAGCAGAAUGCAGGUUCGAAUCCUGUCGUCAGCA